AGAGUUUGAUCCUGGCUCAGGAUGAACGCUAGCGGCAGGCUUAACACAUGCAAGUCGAGGGGUAACAUUGUAGCUUGCUACAGAUGACGACCGGCGCACGGGUGCGUAACGCGUAUAGAAUCUGCCUUCUACAGAGGGAUAGCCUUUAGAAAUGAAGAUUAAUACCUCAUAACACUUUGGAAUGGCAUCGUUUUAAAGUUAAAGAUUUAUCGAUAGAAGAUGACUAUGCGUCCUAUUAGCUAGAUGGUAAGGUAACGGCUAACCAUGGCAACGAUAGGUAGGGGUCCUGAGAGGGAGAUCCCCCACACUGGUACUGAGACACGGACCAGACUCCUACGGGAGGCAGCAGUGAGGAAUAUUGGGCAAUGGAGGCAACUCUGACCCAGCCAUGCCGCGUGCAGGAAGACUGCCCUAUGGGUUGUAAACUGCUUUUAUACAGGAAGAAACGUAUCUACGAGUAGGUAUUUGACGGUACUGUAAGAAUAAGGACCGGCUAACUCCGUGCCAGCAGCCGCGGUAAU
rnacentral:rRNA from 1 species